AAAAAUUACGCAUUUAUUAAAGAUGAUGUGGCCUAUUUCACAAUUAAAAGAAUUUCAAUGGAAUUCAAUUAUAGAAAAAGAUAACAAUAACAAGUGACGUGGCAGGGCCUCAUUAGUGAAUCGAUGGGGUGGUACAUGUAUGUGCGCAUACGUCAGAAGUCAAAGAAAGGCACCGUCUACGCGCAACCGACUGUGAGCCCCAGAAGAAUCCAUUAAAAGAAAGAUCUGCCCUGCAUAGGUAACAAACAAAAACUUAACGCGGAAGUCAGGCUGCUGGUCUUGGAUUAGGCUCCAAGCCAGCUCCAGAAACAUAUAAAUAUCAAUAAAUCCAUCGUCUUCGUCUUCAUUGCUUUCCUGAAAACAUUAUUCCAAUUCAAGAAAAGAUCGUCAAACAUUAUUCCAAUCCAAGACAAGAUGGCUGCAGGAGGAACUGAAGCUUUUCCUGAUCUGGGUAGACAUUGUCAACAUUCAGAUUGCAAUCAACUUGAUUUCCUGCCUUUCAAAUGCCAAGGUUGUCAUAAGGUGUUUUGUCUAGAGCAUAGAUCCUACAAGUCCCAUGAUUGUCCUAAAUCAGAUCAUAAUAGCAGAAAAGUGGUGGUUUGUGAUAUUUGCUCCACGUCCAUUGAGACCACCGGAUGCCAUGAAGAUGAUGAGAAGUUGAUAUUGGAGAAACACGUCAAGUUUGGAAACUGCGACCCCCAAAAGAAGAAGAAACCUACCUGUGCCGUUAGGCGCUGCAAGGAGACUUUGACCUUCUCUAAUACAUGCAUUUGCAAAACUUGCCAAUUGAAGGUUUGUUUGAAGCAUCGUUUUCCAGCUGACCAUUCUUGUAAUAAGGCUUCGUCUGCCGCGGCUGCUGCUGCUAGUGGUGGGUGGUUUAAUAACAAGUUUCUGGGUGCUUUGGCUUCUAGGACGGGGAAAGAUUGUGCAAAAGAUCAGCCUUCAUCAAAACCCAAUAAUAAUACCUUAUCUGUCAAAGCAUUUUGAGGCUGACAACAAUACCCAUGCGAAUGUCUUAUGAACACAAGCAUUGUUAUGGCAUGAUUUGAUGUGACGUAAACAGUGCUUGCUUCCAAGAACAUCAAUGCUGGUGUCCCCAUUCUGUAAUUCUAUUCAAUUAAAUUGGAUUAUUUGGAAUUGAAUAAGACUUCUAAGUUUUUGUGAAAUGUGCUUUUCCACAAAAUAAAACUCUAAUACUUUUCAGACCCGGAGGAUAGAAACUUCAAAUGCCAACAUAAAUUUAUCAUCAUUGAAAUGCACUACAAUUGAAGGAUCUCCAAUCCCUAACAACAAUACAUUUGACUUGAUCAUCUCAUCCUGUUCAACCCACCAACAAUCACAAACAGUAUCUACUUUCAGGUCAUGCACACUAUUGCCAAGCAUAGCAAUCACAAAGUUUCAUGAUGACUUCCUGAUGCAGUAUUAGAAGAGGAUUAAAAUUAAGAAUUAUAUUUAUUGUACGAAUUAGGAAAUUCAGAAUUUUAUUAUUUAGAAAUUUUAUUAUUAUUGGGUUUAUUAUUAUUUUCCCAGUUUUAAGUUUGUUUAGAAUUCUUAAUUAGUAUUUGAUUAGGAUUUCUAAAUCCUAAUAUAAUUAGGAUUGUCAAAGCACUAUGAAUAGGCCUAGCUCUCUACAAAUUGAGCAUCCUUUGUUAUGACAUUAUUCAAUUGAGUAUUUAUAAUUUUGAGAAUUUGUUUCUCUCGGAAAUUAGUUUUCCAUUGGUUUUUCUCUGUGCUAUAUCACUUCCAAAAGAGACAAACCUCACUACUGGACAGGAUUACAUGUAGAUGUGGAAUCACUUUUCAUAGAAUUGUCGCAGUCACAAUGUUUUAAUAUUAUGUAACUCGGGCCAUUUCUAUUCUAUGAGAUUUUUAAUCUAAACAGCAAAUUGUCCACAAUGUUAUUAUGUGUGAAAGAAAGAAUGUAGUAAGCAUGAAAACUACAGUUGUCCCAAGCUUGUUGCUUACUACCAAUUUUAUGCAGUAUCAUGUAACAAAACAAGUAUAGAUAGCCAAACAAAUUGUUUUAUAAAAGCUAUACUUAUUUUAUACAGUAAGUUAAAGCAAUACCAUUGGUAUCCCCAUUUCUUUAGGGUCUUUGUCUUCCAUCUGCCUCAACAUGGUCAUGUCUACCAUAUGUGAUACUGUUUUCAUGAUGCCACUUGUUGGUGCCACCUAUGUUACUAGAUUGCCAGCUUGAGA
rnacentral:misc_RNA from 1 species